UGCUGCUUCCGCACCACCUCUGCCACUUGCUUCUGCUGCUUCCUCCCCUGAGAGUACCUGUGCACCUUGUGAAGCAGCUGCUGAUCAGGUGCAGAGAUGUCAGGGCAGAGAUGUCAAAAUCUGCAGGCUCUCCUGUACCAGGUGCCUGCAUGGCCUCUGAGCUCGUUUUGGACAGAGGCCAACCAGUUGUCACAUCUGGAAAGGCUGAGCGGAGGCACAGAUGAGGCAAGCCUUCUGAUGUGCCAGUGAAGUAGAGCCAUGGUGCUGGGUUCAGGCUGGUUGGUGGUGUUUGAGUCCACAGCAAGGAUAGUCAGGGGUCUCAAACGUGGAUUCCAGCGCCAUGAAGAUGCAAGUUGCAACUGGCUGGCGUCGGACCGGAUGCGACAUCUGCCAGCCAGGCGAGACCAAGCACCGCGAGAGAAGAACUAUACAGCAGUCUACCAGCGGGACUCUGAGCAAGAGCAUUGUGCGAUGGUGGUCUUUUGGAGGAGCCAGACUGCUAGAGAGUGCAUGCUCUCAGGUGGUGGAUAGAGAAAUGUCUUCUGUUAGGAAGUUGUGAAAACAACUUACUUCUACAAGAUAGGCACUCGUGCUCAUGGAUCAACAAGCUUCUUUUUUUUUUUUU
rnacentral:lncRNA from 1 species